UCUACAGGACUGUGCUGGAAUAUUACUCUGGAGAUGUGGAUGAAGAUGCUUAUGACAUGAGAAAAGCCCUUUCCCGAGAUAAAGACAAAAAGAGCAUGAUUCCGCUAAAAAGACCAGUGAGACCGGACGAGUUGGAUUGACCAUGAGCCAGGUGGAUUACCAUGGAGACGAGUUACUAUGGAUACUACUGGGGACAGCCAUUUUUGUUCUGGUUUCGAUUCUGUACAUUUUUAUCAGAGAGCAUGGACUCCCAUCCACAUCGACUCGCUCGGAUCUGUAACAAAAUUUCCUAGAGCUCACAGAUUCUGUGCAAUAUAUCAGAAGCAUUAGAUAUUGUAGGGGGUUAUCAGGAUGUCGGACAUGAUAUUGCUCUCUCAGGCCACAGAUAAUUCCGGUGUGAUGGAGUGAGUACUGGGGCUUGUUUAUUACAAUCGCCUUGGUUAUGGUGCUGAGUUGAUGGAUUGCGAUGUCUGACUAGUCGAAUCGACCACCUGUACUUUGUCAGAGUUAGGGGAGAGAAGGAAUUGACUACCUCUACACAAAUUUGCACUUUGGCUGACGUACUGCAAAUUGCUUCUCUCUCUUCUGUCUCAGUGAAUUGGAGAAAAUAAAAUGCACCAGACUCGCAAAUAGAAACCAGAGACAAAAUGGCAAAUUCUCUCUGAAAUUAUUGUUAAAACCAGUUAUUACCAGUAAUUAAAUUUAUGUGCUUGUAAUUCAUGUAAUUAUUAAACUUAAUUCAGUCCUCAAGAAUAUUUUUGGAUACCAGGAUACAGUAAUUAGGUAUCUAUAUUUCUUGUUUCUAUGGUGACCCACCUGGUGACUAGUAAUAAUAAGCUUGUACAUAGUUUUGUAUUGUAUAAAUGAUUCGAAAAUGUGUUUCUUAAGAAUGCGUUAUCACUGUUUUGUGCGUGUUUUUUUUUAAAGGAGAGUGAACCAAAAUUCUAUAUAGAUUGCAAUUCAUUUACUUUAUAGGUAUUCAUAGAAUGCUAGAAAAAUAAAACACUGUUUGAUUUUUUUUAUAGUAUUUCCCGUUUAUUUUAUGAAAUAAAGAAACAAGUUUAAAAUUCCAUAUCGUUAUAAUAAUUGUCCGUAAGGACACUUUUUAUGGUUGAAUCAAUUUUUAACGGAUUUUUUUUUUAAAUCAUUUAAAAAUUGAAAUGAACAAAAAAAAAUUAUUUCAAAGUGACAUGUUCCCCAGAUAUUUCUUUACUGUGCUUUUUAGCUGUUAGUAAGUUCCAGGUUUAUGAUUGUUACCUGUAAUUUGUAUCCAGUGGGCGUGUUUGCGAGAUAUUCAACAAUGAUGCACAAAUGAACACAGAUCAAACACUUGUGGUGUAUAAAAGAUGUGUGUAAAUAAACGAGCCGACUU
rnacentral:misc_RNA from 1 species